rnacentral:lncRNA from 1 species
AAAAAUAUUUUGAAAAAACAGUGCUUGUCUACAAUUUCGUGUACCAUCAGAAUGGCCAAUUAUUGCUCAAUAUUGUUCUUUUGGGUCUUUGGGCACCACAGACGAAGAAAGGUUGAAAUCAGAGUUUAUCAUCUACCUAUCCAAGAACAAUGUUUUCAAUAGUUGGAAUGGAGCUUUAGAUGGUAUCUGUUUGCCUCACAUUAAAAUCAAUUGUGGCUUAAAAACUACAUGUGCUUGUUGAAAUGUUAUGAACGAAAGCGAUCAUAGGUCAUGCCUCAUAUAAAAACCUAUUGCAAAUUUCAUCAUGUUUUACAGAAGUGUCUUGGUUUUGUUGACUAUCGCUAAUUUAUCAAAAGCUGCUUGGUGCAGAAAACUUGAAUCAGGCGAACAGAGUAACAUCAUAAUAGCACACGAGGCUGCAGUUUUUUUCUUGCCUCAAUUAUUGAUUGGACUAGAUACAUUUCCUAUUGAUGAAACCGAACCAAGUAAAUUCCUGUAUUUUACUUUACCUUUACCUAUUUGCUGAAUACUCAGACACUGAUCAACCUUGGACUAUAGUGGGUAGAUUAUGAAUUAAAUUUAACAUUUGCUUGUAAUAAAAUAACAUAGGUAUACCUACUUUUUAAAAUUAAUA